UACAGAGGGUGUGAGCGUUGUUCGGAAUUAUUGGGCGUAAAGCGCUGGUAGGUGGCUCGUUAAGUCGCGUGUGAAAUCUCCAGGCUCAACCUGGAAAGUGCGCGCGAAACUGGCGGGCUUGAGUGCCGGAGAGGGUCGCGGAAUUCCCAGUGUAGAGGUGAAAUUCGUAGAUAUUGGGAGGAACACCAGAGGCGAAGGCGGCGACCUGGAAGGUAACUGACACUGAGCAGCGAAAGCGUGGGGAGCAAACAGG
rnacentral:rRNA from 1 species